UCUUUAGAAGAACUGAAGGAUGAAAAACAGGAACUUUGUCUUUAAAUGAAACUCUUUCUUCUGGAUUCAGGUUGAGGGGCUGCAGGUUGUCAAGGAUCAGCUGUGAUGCUCUGGCUGCAGCUCUCAAGUCCAACCCGUCCCACCUGACAGAACUGGACCUGAGAUACAACGACCUUCAGUCUUCAGAUGUUGAGCAACUCCAGGAUCUGGUGGAGAGUCCAAACUCCAAACUGCAGACUCUGAGGUGGAGGUAGGUCUGAUGAUCCUCCUUUGGAUCAGAGAGGAUCAUCAUCAUCAUCAUCAGCUGGUCUGCAGAGAUGUUGUUCCUGGAGGUGGAGAGCAGAGUGAUGGAGGAAUCAGAGGAAGUGGAGAUGAUCAUCAGAGCCGCAGCAUGAACUGAUCUGAGAUCAGCUCCACUGUCUCUCUCAGCAUCAAGUGGACAGUUAUUGUGCUGCAGCUCCCCCGGUGGACUGAUGGAGAACUGCACUUCAUCUUCUCAUUCUAACUUGGAGUGUUGGGAAGUCUUCUGCUUCAUUUUUGGACUAAAUUUAGUUGACGUAAAAUGUAUUAGCAGACAUUUAACUAAAAGAAAAAGUAAAGUAUUAUAUGAUAAAAUAACAUAAUAUAGCAAAAUAAAAUAAUAUUGCUUCAUGCAGGCUGGAUCAACUGAUGAUAUUAUUAGAAAAAAAAUGUAAAGGAUCACCAAAAAGUUAUACUCAAACAGUUUAUUAAUUUUAAAAGUGUCUUCUGAUGUUACUCUCAAAGGCAAACCAUUGAGGAAAAACAAUGACAGAUUUAAGGGAGUGGUGUACCACCAAAGAAUGACUCCCAGUGAUUUAUGUUUGUAUUCAAGCAAGAAAAUACAGCCGAGAAUAUUUUUGAUUUUCUGUUGUUUUGUCAUUAACAGUAAAUCAUCUGCAGGCAGCACUUUUUAGCAUAACACCAGUCCACAAGAACUCUGGUCCAGUUUUGGCUUUGAAUCUUCAUCCGCAAACAGAAAUGAGCCAAUAUAGUGUUAAAUCGGGAACACUUUAAAGUGAAUGAAAAAAACAGGUUUUAAAUGUAAAAAAUAGAUCUUAAAAACUAAAAUAUAAACGUUUGAAAACUGUUUUAAAUUUAAAAGUACACAUUAUAAGCUUGAAGAAACGUUUACAAGCUUACUCCUGAUUGUUCCCAUAGAAACAUUGACUCAGUCCAACUUGAACCAAUCCGUCUCCAACAUGGUGACGUUGAGGAAACAUCUGUCUUAACUUUCCAUCUUCUUUGAUUAAUCUCUUCUUGUCAUAUGGAAAUCAACAAACACCAAAUGUUUUCUGCGCGACACAGUCUAACAAAAGCUCCGCCUCUCAGAAAUAUACAAAAUAAAAUACAUAAAUAUGCAAAAUAAGAAUUAAACAGACAAAUUAAGAACAAAUACUGACACUCUUAUUGUGGCAGUUAAAGUUAGACUUGAUGUAAUCAUUUAAGAUGUACAAAAUAUUAAAAUUAAGCCCCUAAGUCACACAAACGGAAUUUGAUGAAAUAAAAUGAAACUCAACAAAACGAGGGGAGCGUAGAAAACUCUACAAGAUGACCUCAUGAAAACAUGUUAACAGUUUCAGACAAACGCCAGCAUUUAGGAGGAGGAGUUAUCUUAUCUACACAAAUGAAGUCUUUGCAGAUGAAACAAAAUAGAAAGGAAUUGAUGCCCAAAAUAAAAGCAGCAUUUCUUAGAUAUGAUAAAUUGAUUAUCCACCCCAGGAACUCCAGUACCUCUAGAAAUGUUUAGGGUUAUGUAAGAGAAACGGAACACAACUGCAACAGAAAUGGUCGUCCACUGAAUGCAUGGAAUACUGAACGCUGGUAAAAUGAAGAACGAUCUCUAUUCAAUGGUUUUCAAUUAACUAACUACUCAAUUACAAAAAUAAUACACUCAAAAAAUUUUAAAGGAACGUGGGAUAUCUUAAACAGUUUGAAUAAACUUGUAAAAUAUAAAUGAUGUAGUAAAAAACUUCAAUAACGUCUUUUUUUGUGAAUAAUGGAGCAGAUUUAGCAGCAGAAAUAACAAAUCAGGAAAUUAAUCAGUUUAAUGAAUAAAUAAAAAUCAAUCCACAUUCCUCCACCAUCAUCCCCAGACUCAAGAAGCCUGACAUCUCCAGCCUCAGUGACUCUCACUCCAACAGUCAUGAAGUGCUUUUAAAAACUGGUCUGUAGUCACAUGACAGCAGCUCUCCCACCAGUGUUUAAUCUGAACAUGUUAAAGUUUUGAUGAAGGAACAUUUUAUUUUCUUUUUUACUUUUUAAAGGUGUUUUGAAAACAUUAGAUUCUGUAAAUGUAAAACUGAGUUUCAGAUUCACUAAAUACAAAUCCUUCACAUAUUUGUCCUCCAGGCAUUUAUAAAAAGUCCAGCAAGCCCCUCCCACCUCUUUGAAGUCCUUCAGUUGGGUUUAUCAGGAGGCAGAAGGAUCUUGAACUUUUAAAAUAGUUUUUCAACAUCAUUUAAACUCUGGUUUUCUUCAAAAAUCCCCCAAAUUCCUUCUGAUCUUUAGUUUUUCUGGAUUGACCUCUACAGCUGCAGGAGUCUUGUUUCACCACCAGAGGGCAGUAAAUCCCCACUCAUGGUAAUGUCUGGAGGAGGAAAAGCUUCUGACCUGAAACUAAGCAGCUGAAUCUUCAACAAAAACUCGACUGGACCUGAAAGUAGAAGUUCCUGCUUUCUAUCCUGGUUAAGAAAUAACCAACCUCUUCUGUUAGACGAUGAAACCAAAAGUUACUGACAAACCUUUCAGAACAUUCUGUCUACACGUGUAGCCAAACGCUUCACAUCAAUCAAGUCCUGGAACGUACUGUCACCAUGAAAUCCCAUUCCCUAUUACCAAUACUUUUGGAAGUGUUUUACUUGACUGCCUUAAAUUUGGGUCACCAUGGAAACAGAGUACUGCAGCUGGACAGGAAGCUUUCUUACCUGCAGUGGGUGAUGAAGGGGCCUUUGGAGCUUAUUCACCUUUUAGGAAGGAAAAAAUGAAAAUCAUAUUAUUUAUAAGAUUUGUUUAAUGCGACUGUGGACUUCACUGUCUUGUACCAUAAACUAUUGAUCCAAAGCUGUUGGGCUGCUUUACUGUUAGAAGAAUUUUUUUGUGUGUAUGUUUUUGUUUUUAAUGUAAAGCACUUUGAACUGCACAAAAUAUGAGAAGCGCUUUUUUAUAAAUUAAAUUUGAUUUGAUUCUA